UCUUAUGGAUGAACAAAGAAAGUAGUUUAUUGAGAUGGAAUGUGCUCCUGGUGAAGAUGCUGUGAA
rnacentral:pre_miRNA from 2 species